GGGGACGUGCGCAGCGGGUGUCCCUUCGGAGCCCUUCUCCAGCAUCGAGAAAGUCGGAGCCCUCGAAAAGAGAAGUUGCCUCCGUCUCUUCUCAAAGAGCAAAAUCAGCAACAAGAAAACUGCGAACCCGUUCCUUUCUGACAGAUCCUCGCUGCGCUGUUACUUCUGUUUCCCCACAAGUAACGAGAGCCGCGCUAAAGGAGGCGAAGUGAGCGCACUUGGCCGGUUGAGCACGGAGCAGACUAACACACGCGUUUGUAGCCGUUUACGGAGCGGUGACACAACGGGGGAGACUUCAGCCAACACCACCGCAGAUUCGUUCCCCCCUACAGACCCGCCUGAAGCUGUCACCGCUCCGCUCGGGCGCAGCUCGCGCGGCUCAGGGCUGUGCUCGGCUCCAGGGGUACAGCUGCCCGCGGCCGCUCCUCGUCUGCCUUCCGAGCCGCCACUUCUACCCCGCCGUUAACUUUUCGGGCACACGGCGCGAUCUUACCGGAGCUCCUCAACACGCCUGCUGGCAGCACCGCUCCGCACAGCACAGCACCGCACCGCACCGCACCGACCUCCCUCCGCCGCGCUCUGCGCCGCGCCCCUUCCUCCUCCUCCUUCCCCUCCUCCUCUUUCUCCUCCUCCUGCCUCUUCCCCAAACUCCACGGCCGCUGCCGCCGCUGCUCCGCUCCUCGUGGAAAGUUGGGGCCGGGCCGGGCCGGGCUCGGGCCGCCCGCAGCGCUCACACCGCAGUGGGGCUGGGAUGGGUGGUGCCGCGGCUCCUCGAGGACAUGGAGUCAUGUCGGUGUAACAGGACAGAAGUAUUCGUCAGCUCCUCCCAGUUUUUCAUUAUAAUUUUAUUAAACAACUCGUAACGCAGAAAAGAUGUCAAACAACAUGAGCACACAUCAAACUGGCUUUUGGGGCUGUUGCUUUUGAAGCUACCUGGCUUUGUUCAUCUUCCACCCACGCUUUUUCCAUUCAGUACCAGAAAUGGCACACGUAGUAGAUGCUAGUAAGAGAACAAGGACUGUCAUGAGAGUGGUGAUGGCCUCUAUUUAAAAAGAGUGCUCAGACAGUAUUUGAUAUUUCAAGAGGAUAGGUAUUGCAAGAUGAUUUGAUCAGCCAAAAUAAAUAUCUCUUCAAAAGCAGAAACAACUUGUCUCUAGCAACAGCAGCUGGCCAUUUACCUUGCACUUAUUCCUGAGCUACACUAUGCCAUACCAACAAUAUACCUUUCUCUGUUACCAAGGUUUUCCAGUUGUGCCACUUACAUCAAUCACCAAAUGCAUGCUAAAUUCAGUAAGCUGACACUAGUAGGUCCUAGUGGUGAAAGAUCAGUGUGUCUUGUAGGUACUAGACAUUUCAACUCUAUUUCUCCUACUCAAUGAGGAUUUGUCUGCCAUGUCCUGACUUCAAGGAGCUCACCAUGCAACGCGGAGAAGUAACACAUUACUAUUAAAAGUAAGAACUCUAUGUUCAGAAUUGCAAAUAAACAAUCUUGCACUUGAGAUGUGUUGUUCCAUUCCUGUGACGUUCACAGUUAAACUUCUGACUUCCAUAGGAUAUCUUUCCAUGUUUUACAUUCUCAGUAUUUCUUCUGCAUACUCAUGCCGUAACACAAUGGAAAAUGGAACAAAAAAAGCACAACGGAGCUAUAAUCCAAUGUCCAACAUAUAUUUAAGUACCUUAGACUGCGGCAAGUGAAGGUGGGCAGGCUGAAUACAUGACAUCUCGGAGAAGUUGUGUUACGAUGCUCCAUGCACAAACCCUUUAUCUCUUACAAAAGACUAGUCAGUCACACCAGAAGAAGCCUCUUACAUACUCAACUGGAAAUAAUGUUUCAAAGAGUAUAAAUAGGAAUAUUUGAAUGGGAAGUCACAAUGCAGUUCUAAGGGUAACACUCUCAGGGAAAGAAAAAUCUUAAAAGUAAGACUGGGAAUAUUUUGAUAAAAUAAACUGGCAGAAACUGGGCUGAAAAAAAUAGCAGUACCGUGUAUAGAAUGACAUGACAGGCAUGACUUUAACCUGUUAUGCUUUGUGGAAAAGAAGCCUUUUCAUCCUGAAAUGCCCGCAGAUUGUAGGUAAGUACAGAAAAAAAUUCUUUGCAAUGUCUGAAGUUAUUUUAAAAUCCUUUUUGAGAGAUCAUAAUUGGAGACAUUCACUUUUUACUUUUGGAAAUGGUCCUUCCAGUACUCUUGCUGCAACAUUCUCUCUCACACACGCACACAAAAAAUAAAAAUCUAAAAAAGUAUCUGAAAGUGUAAUAAAGUUAUGACCAUGUCAACCUAUUGAUUUUUUUUCCCCCUUGCAGUUGAUGGUUUUCUUUGCUGAUUCCUUUGGGUAACACUAUGUCAUAUCCAUUGGAUUAAGAUUUUGUAAAUAAAAUACAAGCAUUAUAUCAUAAGUACAACCUUACUGGAGCGCAUAAUUAAAACCCAAAAAACUCCCAAAUCUCUAAUUUUCAUUAACUUUAGGUAAUAGUCAACAGCAAAAUCACAGUAACAUAUACGCCUAAAUGUUCUCCUUUGUACUGACUUCGGUCUUCAGUAACAGAGUUUCCAUAUCCACCUGCAAUAUUUUUUUGUUCACUAGGGAUUGAUCCGUUUUUGAUUGUUUAUUCCUUGUGUUCUUAAUCCAUAUUCUGAAACAGGUGACUAACAUGCUUCCUCUUUCCAUUUUUCUUUCUCAAUUCUUCUUCCCUUUUCUCUCUUUGCUAAUAAUUAAACAUUUUAAUAUGCACUCUGAAGUUUCCAUUCUCCCUUUUUCUGUUAACUCUCUUCCCCUUAUGAAAGUCGCCUUUAUAAGACUGGCAGCUUAGAGGCUUUUAACAGUACAGAAGUUCUUCCAUGUUGCUAUCCAAAAGUCAUCAGUAUGUCUUAGGUGCAGAAAAAAAAUUAGGUGGAUGAUUUGCAUGUAGGCCGGAUCUUCUCUGUUUUACUACUUUUGUUGUCUUGUCAGGUGCUCUUGGUCUUCUUCCACCUUUGUAAGCUGGAAGAUAAAGUGUCAAUCAGUAUCAACAUCAGAAUGUGCCUUUUUUUUUUUUUUCCUCUCUGUAAGCCUGGGUGCUCUUUUCAUACUGCCUGCCAAUAGCUUUUACAUCUGUGUUGGCAUACAUUUCAGCCUUAUAGCUUUGAAACUAUUCUGAAACAGUUUCAACUUUUACCUUCAUUUUCUUACAGUUUUACAAGACAUUGCUUCUGUGGUAGGUAAGAACCUGAAAAUGCUAUUUAAGGAAAAUUCCCAUUAGAGCCUCAAAAUCAUAAAUGUCAGGCCAGAAUUUCCAGCUGCAUAAAGGUUAGUCACAAAAGAUUGCUACUUCUGAGCAGUCAUCACAUUCUGAUCAUUACAAAAGAAGAGCCGGUUUUAAAAAUGCCUAUCCCAACUUUUUUCCCAAUAAGAUAGUGCUAGAAUCACACAGAUACUGUAAAUCGCUUUUUAACUAUUAUACUGUUUAAAAUUAUCUGUAGAAGGAAUUUAAACGUUCUUGCAUUUCAGCUACCAGCAUAACUGAGUCAACUUACAGGCACUAAUCAAUCUAGUGUCAAUAUUUUGAUAACACAGGUGAAGAUUAUUACUACAAGUGAGAGAAAGCCUAACCGAUAUGUGACAUCAAUAGUGAAGUCACAGAAGAUGUGAUUCAUCCGGCUCGAAUAGAUCUGUUAGAUGCAGUCAGUUUAGAUGUGGCCAACAGGUGCAUUAGCAAAGAGAAGAUCUAAGGACAACACACUUAAAGACAACAGCAUUUAAUCUAGAAUUCCACCCUGAGUAUUUGAAACAAAAACAAUCUUAAGAGGUUUCAAGUUUCUUGGGCCUCAUCUGCGUUCCACUCAAGAACUCAGAACAGAGCACACCAGCUGUAAACCAGGAAUCCCAACAGGCAUUGGCCCUUCACAUCAAGUCUCUCUGCACUUCUUGAUUCACUUCACAUGUUGAAUAUCUUCAUUCUGACAUUUUUCCUCCUCUGUACACCGAAGUCCAAGGCUUCUGCACUCUAAUGAAUAAGGAGUGAUCCUUUUCUAACAAUGAGACAUGUCAUCUAAGUCAGAUAUCUGAAACAAGACUGACAAAAGCAAUGUCAUAAAGCAGGAAAACAAAAAGAAAAACAAAAAACAAACAACAAAAAACAAAGAAACAGAAGAAACAACAACAGGUAUCUAGAUUCACUCUUCUUUGAAUGUAUUUCAUAACAGAGACCUUACUUGAUACACUCUACUUCUACAUGGAAAAAGUACUCAUAGGCAUGAUGAGAGAGUAUUAAUUCAUGCUUUUUACUCGGAAGCAUCAGAUUCAAGGUUUAUGCUGAAAUCUCUUUAUUUUUAUGCUGCAUGUGACAGGAAGUAUUGUUCCUACAACACAGACUGGGAGACCUUAUACUUCCUGGAGAGAUACAGUUACUAUCAAAUCUGUUUCUAAGUGUUUAAAAAAUUUAUUAAUAAUACUUUAUAGCUUUCCUGCCAACACUGCCUAGAUAAGUGGCAUAAAGACAAUCUGUCAUUCUCCAUUAAAACUUUUGCCCAGGUCAUAACCUUAUACAGUAACUUUUUUUUCCUGUCUGCUACAUACAUUACAUACAUGCAUGCUAGCCAGUAACAAAUAUCCUACAUGACAUGAUACCAUACAAACUGCUACUCAUCAAAGUCCUUGCACCAGUUUAUUAAGAUAUUCUGUUUUUUAUUUACCAACGUGAUAAACUCAAACCCUCACAUCUAUUACAGAAAUAGAAUGCUAAAAUAUAGAAAUAAAACAUUACCUAUGAGGAUAAAGAGAGAACAAUCUAAGUAUCAGCAGAUUUUACUGACUUUACUGCAGCUGUAAUUUAAUUUUUCCCAAAAAGUUGAGAGGUAUGAUUGACGUACAUGCCAAUAUCAAAAAGUAUACAGCUUCCCAUAAGAGAAUAUGUCUUCAAGACUGAACUUAUUUAAAAAGAAAAAAAGAAAGAAAAAAAAGAAAGGAAAAAGAAAAGAAAGAAAAAAGGGAAAGAAAUAUGUUGUAAAUGAAAUGAUGUUUUAAAACAUUACGCUCAAUUCCUUUUUUCUAACAAAUAUUUUUACAUAGCUGUCCAAUGGACUUUCAAUUUCUGCAUUAAGUCAAUGAUUCCGUUUAAAUAUUAAAUUACUGAGAUCUCCCACAACAAAUGCAUACAGUAGUAUCCUUCAUUAAGAGUAUGAUUACUCUGAAAGGAUUUGGAGGAAACUACUUCUUGUUCUAACAAACAUUGCAGGUUCCCACCACCAGUUUCUCUCCUUUCCAAUUUAUUAUUUUGAUUUAUUACUUUCCACUUGAUCAGCCAAUAAUUCCCUUGCGUAAUCAUUUGGAAGAUAAAUACAGAAUUACUUUACAUGAUUGUAAGCUUUCUAUAAAACCUGAGUUUAAUGUGACAAGUUAUUAAGCAGCCGCCCCAGGGCCAACCUUGUGUAAUUAAAAAGUAGCACUUCAAAAUUCUCACAAUUUACAGCACAUUGCUGCAGAUUAGAAGAAACAGAAGACAAAGUAUAAAUCCAUUUACAGUUCAGGUCAAGACAGUUAUUCGGUAGAAAUCCUAUAGCCCAUGGUUUUCAUUCACUAGCAAAAUCUACAGGAGUAGAUUUUUAGCUCAGUGCAUUUUUAAGCGUAGUCUCAGAACAGUAUUUAGAGGCUUCCCCUAAACUAUUUUUGUGUGGUGAUUUAAACACUGAGCUUUUUUCUGUAGGAGAUUUGUUCCAACUUUGUUAAAAUUCAGUGCUGGAGGAAAAAAAAAAAGAAGUGAUAUAAUCAGAAUGCUCAUCAAGUUAAGGUAUUUAGGUAGACUCCUAAGUGCUUUAAUGUGACACUUAUUAGACUGUGGAGUCAAAAAAAAGUCUCUUUUUCCUGUUCAAAAGCAACACAGCAAGCCUUCCUCUUGCUGUUAAUUACACUGCCUUUCUUUUAUCACUUUUCUAAGUAAGACAGGAAAAGACAGGUACAUACUAAGAAGGUUAUCUACAACAGCUCUGUUUUUCUCAGUCUCCACAUGACCACCAAAGCAGAUGAAAAGCAACUGCAUGCAGCUGAAAGGCCAGAUAUCAAAGCAUUUCUUUUACAGCUUUAAAGUAAAAAGGCCAGACAGCCACUGCUUAAAGCUCUUUGGAGUCAGUUUACUUUUAGUGAGGUUUCUUAAGAGAAUAAGAUUCCUGUACACAGGAAAUACAAAUCACCAUCGGCAUGGUCAAGCAGUGAAACAGCUUGUAAAGAGAUGCUGUGCAAUGCACAUCCGUGAAAAUACUCAGAAACUGACUGAACGAGGGCUGAAGCAACAUUAUCUAACUUGUAAAUUAGUCCUACUUAGACCAAGAGGCAGGACUGGAGACCUCCAGAAAUUCUAUCUGACCUACAUUAACCUACGGUUAUGAGUCACCCAGUUACCUUUGAAGUAAUAUGCCAGUUUCAGAAGAAAAAUAAACUCAGUUGUAAGAAAUCACAGACAUUAAAUUCUUAGAACUGGCUUCUAUGACAUUACAUCCUUUAGAAUUAUUUUCUUAUUUUUUCAUUCCUGGUCAACUCAAAAGUGAAUUUUGUUCCGUUCUCAUUAUCCGCUCAGCUCAAUACACAGUCAUACAACCUUUUACCUUGCUGAUAGUCACAUAAGAGCAGAAAGAGGAUUUUGGAAAGGAAGAGUAUGCAGAUGAAGCAAGCCUAUACUUCAGUCAGGGCAUACAAAGUUACUGGAAAAUGCAGCUUUCCAAGUUUUGCUGACAUAAGUAUUUGCUUCUUUGUAAAGUAUGCAAUUAUCCAAAGCAAAUCUCUAGACCUUGAAAGUACUGGGAAAUAUUUUUAAACGUUUUGUCUAUAAGUUACAAAGGAGAGAACACAGAACGCAUUCAAACAUAAUAAAAAUAAAUUUUUAUAAUAAUUGAGCCAGAACUCAAAUAAUAGCCUCGCCAUGAAAUAAAUCUGAGAUGGAAAAUUAUUCUGGGUAGAAGUAUUUGUUUGCAAUCUCACUGCUUCCAAAAUAUAAAAUAUAAAGACUACGUAGUAUAUGUCCCUGUCUUCUACAGGACUGUGAAUAAGGACACUGUCUAGUUAAUGAACAUUUUACUACAGGAUAUAUAUAUUCACAUAUAUUUCUACAUUCCUCAAGUUCUUCUCUUCUUCCUUAUAACUCUUACUAAUGGUGAUGUGCCAGUAGUGCCCAAUCCAAAAUUCAGAUAUGCAGAAUCAAGCUCCUUAAAGUCGUGACAUUUGUUUAAAAAAAAAUUAAACAUUGUGUGCUCAGUUCUCAUCCUGAUUUUUUAAUUACUAAAUAAUAUUCAUCAUCUUUUCCAUCUUUCUUCAAAAAAAUACGAAGAUAAUAAUACCAAAUCAGUGACAGUAGUUUCUGACAUAAUUGUUUAAGCCUGGGCAGAAUCUGGAGCUCUGAAUUAGAACUCUGAGGAUUCCACAGUUUAAGGUCUAAAGGAAAAUUCUUGCUAACAUGCACACGCACUAUUUACUUGUACUCCGAUGUUAUAUCUGCAUGGUAUUGAAACACUUAGUUUUGGUCUCGUUCUAUGGAGCACUUCACUUGGAUUUAAAUAUUCUCCUGCACCAUCAGCAACCUCGGUACCAGAACUCUGUACUGCACAAGAAUGACAAAAUAAGAUCAACUAGCAAGAAAACUGCUAGAAUUAUUCUAUCGUUUCCCAGGGCUAGUGAAGCCAAAAACAAAUACUAGUUGAAAGUCAACUUAAAUCACUUGAGCUUUGUAUUUAGAAUUUAUUCAGCAUGAAGUAAAGAAGCAAUGGCAUUGUGUAUCUGCAUUUGUUUCCUAAGAAACACUCAGGGGCAAACAAUACAGCAAAUACAUCCUUGGGCUAUGUGGGUUCUGAACGCACUUCCAAAGCUUCAUUUAAAAGACUCAAUUAAACACACGAGACAAGUUUUUGAAGGAUUUUCCUUCCUAACUGAGAGUUAUUUUUCCAUAAUUUGCUUUCAGAAAUAUUUUUGGUCAGAAAUCCAAAGUUUCUCCUCAAGUGCAUUCAAAAGCAAAUGCAAAAGUUUUGGGUUCUAUAAGCAAGAAAUGUGGAAACUGUUGGUUAAUUUUUUUUAAAGGUACAUUGUGCACACUAAGCAGUUCUUCCUUUAUGGACAAGAAUAACUGUAUCAGAUACAAAGAAAUCUACAUUUGAAAAAAUAUUUCUAUGAAUUUCAAACUUACUUAUUUUUACUGUAUUAAAAAUUUUUAUUUUGCAUAAUCCCUACCUAUCUGUCAGAGGUUAUCUUUGUCUACAAAGUGAACCUCUUGCUGUAAGUUUCCAGAUAGGACUGGUCAGUCAAAUAACAGGGUGACAACAAUCACACAUGCUGUUACAGUUAAGUUAGCUGGUAAGCAGAACUACGAAUAAGUUGAGAAAACAUGAAAGUGGCUCGAUGGUCAUUUGUUCAGCAGAGAUACACAACGCCUAUAAGACGUAACACAUAACUUUUCAAUUAAAAUCACAGGGAGUUCAGUCUGCUGGGGGGUUUGUUUUAUUGGGUGUUUUUGGUUUAUUUGGAUUUGUGUGUGUGUGUGAUUCUAAAAAUUGCAGUUAAGACAUUCAAUUUGACUGCUCACUGUUAACAUCCACACACAAACGUACAAAAAAGUAGGCUAACAACGUAUUUUUUGCUGAAGAUUCUCAGCUCCAGGGUUAACUGCAUCUUUUGCACUGCAGCUGAAGGCCUUGCAGAUGCUUACACAAUGGCUGUACAACAUGAAUACAAGUUCAGUUCAUAGUGUCUGGCGCAAAUUUAGACACUUCACCUUCCAUACACUUGUUAC